UGACCUUGUGAUCCACCCGCCUCGGCCUCCCAAAGUGCUGGGAUUACAGGCUUGAGCCACCGCGCCCGGCCGAGAUCCAUUUUCUAAAAUGAGAUUCUCUGUGUGACUGUUAGGAGCAAUGGUGCCAUUUUGGUGGAUGGGCAGUGUGGCUUUCCCAGUGACCAGACAUUGAUCUCCAUGGCGAUUUGAAAACAAUUAUCCUUGACCACACAGAAGGGAGGCGAUAGUGUUCCAUGCACUCCCUGCUGCCAGGGUGGAGAUCCUCUCCAUGUCAUGGUGGCAUCUUCCUAGCAAGAGUAGAAAGAAAUGCCAUCCUGCCUGGGUCUCACCUGUAGGCAGGUAGGGUCUAUUUUCACAGUCAUGGACACCUCCACCUCCAGCAGAGAUUCAGCCCCAUUGCAGGAAGCACUCAUCAGUGGAAAUACCUGAAGAAGGAACUGUUCGCUUGGACUAAUGGUUGCUGAUCUGCGCGGACGAUGUAAUCUGCACCACAGUCUAACUUUCCCUUUUACAUGGUGACGUAUUUUAUAUGGAAACAAACCAACAGAUGUCUUUAACACUUCAGUUCCAACAUAGACAAAUUCAAGACUCUUGCCAUCUAGUUUGAAUAAAGGCUAACCUAAGCGGAGGCCAUGAGACAUCAUAGG
rnacentral:lncRNA from 1 species